GAUGAACGCUGGCGGCGUGCCUAAUACAUGCAAGUCGAGCGAACAGACGAGGAGCUUGCUCCUCUGACGUUAGCGGCGGACGGGUGAGUAACACGUGGAUAACCUACCUAUAAGACUGGGAUAACUUCGGGAAACCGGAGCUAAUACCGGAUAAUAUAUUGAACCGUAUGGUUCAAUAGUGAAAGUCGGUUUUGCUGUCACUUAUAGAUGGAUCCGCGCCGCAUUAGCUAGUUGGUAAGGUAACGGCUUACCAAGGCAACGAUGCGUAGCCGACCUGAGAGGGUGAUCGGCCACACUGGAACUGAGACACGGUCCAGACUCCUACGGGAGGCAGCAGUAGGGAAUCUUCCGCAAUGGGCGAAAGCCUGACGAAGCAACGCCGCGUGAGUGAUGAAGGUCUUCGGAUCGUAAAACUCUGUUAUUAGGGAAGAACAAAUGUGUAAGUAACUAUGCACGUCUUGACGGUACCUAAUCAGAAAGCCACGGCUAACUACGUG
rnacentral:rRNA from 1 species